CAGUCGCCGCGGUAAUACAGAGGGUGCAAGCGUUAAUCGGAUUUACUGGGCGUAAAGCGUGCGUAGGUGGCUGGUUAAAUCGGACGUGAAAGCCCUGGGCUUAACCUGGGAACUGCAUUCGAUACUGGAUAGCUAGAGAUCGGUAGAGGGCAGCGGAAUUCCGGGUGUAGCGGUGAAAUGCGUAGAUAUCCGGAGGAACACCGAUGGCGAAGGCAACUGCCUGGGCCUGGUCUGACACUGAGGCACGAAAGCGUGGGUAGCAAACAGGAUUAGAGACCCCGGUAGUCCCUGUCUCUUAUAC
rnacentral:rRNA from 1 species